rnacentral:rRNA from 1 species
GGACUACCGGGGUAUCUAAUCCCGUUCGCUCCCCUGGCUUUCGUGUCUCAGCGUCAGCACGCCCCCAGCUACCUGUUUUCACCAUUGGCGUUCCAAAUGAUAUCUACGCAUUUCACCGCUCCACCAUUUGUUCCGGUAGCCCCUAGGCGGCUCAAGACUCCCAGUAUGCCCAGCCGUUCCACGGGUAAGCCGUGGGAUUUCACAAGGCACUUAGAAGUCCGCCUACACACGCUUUAAGCCCAGUGAUUCCGCCUAACGCUCGAGGCCUCUGUAUUACCGCGGCUGCUGGCAC